rnacentral:rRNA from 1 species
GCUUACACAUGCAGUCGUGGGGCAGCGGAUAGCUUAGCUUGCUAAGUAUGCCGGCGACCGGCGCACGGGUGAGUAACGCGUACCGAACCUGCCCAUCACACAGGGAUAGGCUUGCGAAAGCAAGAUUAAUACCUGAUGGUCUCAAUUUUAUGCAUGUAUGAUUGAGUAAAGCCUUCGGGCGGUGAUGGAUGGCGGUGCGUCCCAUUAGGACGUUGGCGGGGUAACGGCCCACCAAUCCUUCGAUGGGUAGGGGUUCUGAGAGGAAGGUCCCCCACAUUGGAACUGAGAUACGGUCCAAACUCCUACGGGAGGCAGCAGUGAGGAAUAUUGGUCAAUGGGCGAGAGCCUGAACCAGCCAAGUAGCGUGCGGGAUGAAGGCCCUUGUGGUCGUAAACCGCUUUUAUCAGUGAAUAAAGUGCACCACGUGUGGUGUCAUUGCAGGUAGCUGAAGAAAAAGGACCGGCUAAUUCCGUGCCAGCAGCCGCGGUAAUACGGAAGGUCCGGGCGUUAUCCGGAAUUAUUGGGUUUAAAGGGAGCGCAGGCGGGAGUAUAAGUCAGCUGUUAAAUAUCAGAGCCCAACUCUGUUAUGCAGUUGAAACUAUAUUUCUUGAGUACGCACAGGGAUGGCGGAAUUCAGGGUGUAGCGGUGAAAUGCUUAGAUAUCGUGAAGAACUCCGAUCGCGAAGGCAGCCAUCCGGAGCGUAACUGACGCUGAGGCUCGAAGGUGCGGGUAUCGAACAGGAUUAGAUACCCUGGUAGUCCGCACGGUAAACGAUGAAUACUCGCAGUUCGGUCUUUAUGGUCGAGUUGUCCAGCGAAAGCGUUAAGUAUUCCACCUGGGGAGUACGCCGGCAACGGUGAAACUCAAAGGAAUUGACGGGGGCCCGCACAAGCGGAGGAACAUGUGGUUUAAUUCGAUGAUACGCGAGGAACCUUACCCGGGCUUGAACCAAGAGUGCGGAGUGCAGAGAUGCGCUUUUUCUUCGGACACUUUUGGAGGUGCUGCAUGGUUGUCGUCAGCUCGUGCCGUGAGGUGUCGGCUUAAGUGCCAUAACGAGCGCAACCCUUUUCUACGUUUGCCAUCGGGUAAUGCCGGGAACUCCGUGGAUACUGCCGCCGCAAGGCGGAGGAAGGUGGGGAUGACGUCAAAUCAGCACGGCCCUUACGUCCGGGGCUACACACGUGUUACAAUGGUCGGAGCAGCAGGAAGCUACCUGGCGACAGGAUGCUGAUCCCAAAACCCGGCCUCAGUUCGGACUGGAGUCUGCAACCCGACUCCACGAAGCCGGAUUCGCUAGUAAUCGCGCAUCAGCCAUGGCGCGGUGAAUACGUUCCCGGGCCUUGUACACACCGCCCGUCAAGCCAUGAAAGCCGGGGGUGCCUGAAAGCCGUGACCGCGAGGGUCGGCCUAGG